CGUCAAAUCAUCAUGCCCCUUAUGACCUGGGCUACACACGUGCUACAAUGGCGGUUACAAAGAGAAGCGAGAGGGUGACCUGGAGCAAACCUCAAAAAAGCCGUCCCAGUUCGGAUUGUAGUCUGCAACUCGACUACAUGAAGCUGGAAUCACUAGUAAUCGCAGAUCAGCAUGCUGCGGUGAAUGCGUUCCCGGGCCUU
rnacentral:rRNA from 1 species